AGAGUUUGAUCCUGGCUCAGGAUGAACGCUAGCUACAGGCUUAACACAUGCAAGUCGAGGGGAAACGAUAUUGGAAGCUUGCUUCCGAUAGGCGUCGACCGGCGCACGGGUGAGUAACGCGUAUCCAACCUGCCCAUCACUUGGGGAUAACCUUGCGAAAGUAAGACUAAUACCCAAUGACGUCUCUAGAAGACAUCUGAAGGAGAUUAAAGAUUUAUCGGUGAUGGAUGGGGAUGCGUCUGAUUAGCUUGUUGGCGGGGUAACGGCCCACCAAGGCGACGAUCGGUAGCCGGACUGAGAGGUUGAACGGCCACAUUGGGACUGAGACACGGCCCAGACUCCUACGGGAGGCAGCAGUGGGAAAUAUUGCACAAUGGGGGAAACCCUGAUGCAGCGACGCCGCGUGGAGGAAGAAGGUCUUCGGAUUGUAAACUCCUGUUGUUGAGGAAGAUAAUGACGGUACUCAACAAGGAAGUGACGGCUAACUACGUGCCAGCAGCCGCGGUAAAACGUAGGUCACAAGCGUUGUCCGGAAUUACUGGGUGUAAAGGGAGCGCAGGCGGGAAGACAAGUUGGAAGUGAAAUCCAUGGGCUCAACCCAUGAACUGCUUUCAAAACUGUUUUUCUUGAGUAGUGCAGAGGUAGGCGGAAUUCCCGGUGUAGCGGUGGAAUGCGUAGAUAUCGGGAGGAACACCAGUGGCGAAGGCGGCCUACUGGGCACCAACUGACGCUGAGGCUCGAAAGUGUGGGUAGCAAACAGGAUUAGAUACCCUGGUAGUCCACACUGUAAACGAUGAUUACUAGGUGUUGGAGGAUUGACCCCUUCAGUGCCGCAGUUAACACAAUAAGUAAUCCACCUGGGGAGUACGACCGCAAGGUUGAAACUCAAAGGAAUUGACGGGGGCCCGCACAAGCAGUGGAGUAUGUGGUUUAAUUCGACGCAAGGCGAAGAACCUUACCAAGUCUUGACAUCCCUUGACGAUGCUGGAAACAGUAUUUCUCUUCGGAGCAAGGAGACAGGUGGUGCAUGGUUGUCGUCAGCUCGUGUCGUGGGAUGUUGGGUCAAGUCCCGCAACGAGCGCAACCCUUAUGGUCAGUUACUACGCAAGAGGACUCUGGCCAGACUGCCGUUGACAAAACGGAGGAAGGUGGGGAUGACGUCAAAUCAUCAUGCCCUUUAUGACUUGGGCUACACACGUACUACAAUGGCGUUAAACAAAGAGAAGCAAGACCGCGAGGUGGAGCAAAACUCAGAAACAACGUCCCAGUUCGGACUGCAGGCUGCAACUCGCCUGCACGAAGUCGGAAUUGCUAGUAAUCGCAGAUCAGCAUGCUGCGGUGAAUACGUUCCCGGGCCUUGUACACACCGCCCGUCACACCAUGAGAGCCGGGGGGACCCGAAGUCGGUAGUCUAACCGCAAGGAGGACGCCGCCGAAGGUAAAACUGGUGAUUGGGGUGAAGUCGUAACAAGGUA
rnacentral:rRNA from 1 species